AUGGCGUCUUCACUCUUCAUCCUUGCCCUCCUCCUCACCGUCGCUGCAACCAACGCGGCCACCAUCACGGUGGUGAACAAGUGCUCCUACACGGUGUGGCCAGCCGCCAUCCCGGUGGGAGGCGGGACCAAGCUCGAACCGGGCCAGUUGUCCACAAUCCAUCCACCCGCCGGAACAAAAUCUGGAAGGAUCUGGGCGCGUACGGGCUGCAAAUUCGACGCCAGCGGCAAGGGGUCCUGUACCACGGGAGACUGCGGCGGCGUGCUGGCCUGUCGUGCCGGCGGGAAGCCACCCGCCUCGCUCGCCGAGUACACUCUGGGGACAGGCAGCAAUGCUGACUUCUACGACAUCUCCCUCGUUGACGGAUUCAACGUGCCGAUGAGCUUCGGGCCCGUCGGCGGCAGCUGCCGCGCGGUCAGCUGCGCCGCGGACAUCAACGCAAAGUGCCCGUCGGAGCUGAAGGUGGACGGGGGCUGCAUGAGUGCCUGCGGCAAGUUCGGCACCGCACAGUACUGCUGCCCACCGCCGAGUACACCGUCGACUUGCGGGCCGACAAACUACUCGCGUUUCUUCAAGGGGCUCUGCCCAGACGCCUACAGCUAUGCCUACGACGACAAGACCAGCACCUUCACCUGCGCUAGCGGAACAAACUACCAACUGACCUUCUGCCCGUAG
rnacentral:rRNA from 1 species